rnacentral:rRNA from 1 species
UACGUAGGGGGCAAGCGUUGUCCGGAUUUAUUGGGCGUAAAGCGCUCGCAGGUGGUCCGAUGCGUCGUGCGUGAAAGACCCCGGCUCAACUGGGGAGGGUCGUGCGAUACGGGCGGACUGGAGGCCAGUAGGGGGAUGCGGAAUUCCGGGUGUAGUGGUGGAAUGCGUAGAGAUCCGGAGGAACACCAGCGGCGAAGGCGGCAUCCUGGACUGGUCCUGACACUCAUGAGCGAAAGCGUGGGGAGCGAUCCGG